CCUACGGGGGACAGCAGUGAGGAAUAUUGGUCAAUGGGCGGGAGCCUGAACCAGCCAAGUCGCGUGAGGGAAGACGGUCCUAUGGAUUGUAAACCUCUUUAGGCGGGGAGCAAUGCCGGGCACGCGUGCCCGGAGGGAGAGUACCCGCAGAAUAAGCAUCGGCUAACUCCGUGCCAGCAGCCGCGGUAAUACGGAGGAUGCGAGCGUUAUCCGGAUUUAUUGGGUUUAAAGGGUGCGUAGGCGGAUUUUUAAGUCAGCGGUAAAAUGUCCGGGCUCAACCCGGGCCGGCCGUUGAAACUGGGGAGCUUGAGUGGGCGAGAAGUAUGCGGAAUGCGUGGUGUAGCGGUGAAAUGCAUAGAUAUCACGCAGAACUCCGAUUGCGAAGGCAGCAUACCGGCGCCCGACUGACGCUGAGGCACGAAAGCGUGGGGAUCGAACAGGAUUAGAUACCCGGGUAGUC
rnacentral:rRNA from 1 species